rnacentral:rRNA from 1 species
AUUGAACGCUGGCGGCAUGCUUUACACAUGCAAGUCGAACGGUAACAGGCCGCAAGGUGCUGACGAGUGGCGAACGGGUGAGUAAUGCAUCGCAACGUGCCCAGUCGUGGGGGAUAACGCAGCGAAAGCUGCGCUAAUACCGCAUACGAUCUAUGGAUGAAAGCGGGGGACCGAAAGGCCUCGCGCGAUUGGAGCGGCCGAUGUCAGAUUUUGUAGUUGGUGGGGUAAAGGCCCACCAAGCCAACGAUCUGCGGCUGGUCUGAGAGGAAGACGAGCCACACUGGGACGGAGACACGGCCCAGACUCCUACGGGAGGCAGCAGUGGGGAAUUUUGGACAAUGGGCGCAAGCCUGAUCCAGCAAUGCCGCGUGCAGGAAGAAGGCCUUCGGGUUGUAAACUGCUUUUGUACGGAACGAAACGGUCCGGGUUAAUACCCUGGGCUAAUGACGGUACCGUAAGAAUAAGCACCGGCUAACUACGUGCCAGCCGCCGCCGUAAAAC